GCCUGUGUAGCUCAGUGGUAGAGCACCAGCCUUGUAAGCUGUAGGCCGAGAGUUCGAUCCUCUCCAUAGGCU
rnacentral:tRNA from 1 species